UUGCGUAGGCGGUUAUAUAAGCGAAUAGUGAAACCUGGUGGCUCAACCAUACAGACUAUUAUUCGAACUGUAUAACUCGAGAAUGGUAGAGGUAACUGGAAUUUCUUGUGUAGGAGUGAAAUCCGUAGAUAUAAGAAGGAACACCAAUGGCGUAGGCAGGUUACUGGACCAUUUCUGACGCUAAGGCACGAAAGCGUGGGGAGCGAACC
rnacentral:rRNA from 1 species